GGUGAGUAAUACUUAGUAAUCUACCUAGUAGUGGGGGAUAGCACGGGGAAACUCGUAUUAAUACCGCAUACGACCUACGGGAGAAAGGGGGCAGUUUACUGCUCUCGCUAUUAGAUGAGCCUAAGUCGGAUUAGCUAGAUGGUGGGGUAAAGGCCUACCAUGGCGACGAUCUGUAGCUGGUCUGAGAGGAUGAUCAGCCACACCGGGACUGAGACACGGCCCGGACUCCUACGGGAGGCAGCAGUGGGGAAUAUUGCACAAUGGGCGGAAGCCUGAUGCAGCAACGCCGCGUGCGGGAUGACGGCCUUCGGGUUGUAAACCGCUUUCGCCUGUGACGAAGCGUGAGUGACGGUAAUGGGUAAAGAAGCACCGGCUAACUACGUGCCAGCAGCCGCGGUGAUACGUAGGGUGCGAGCGUUGUCCGGAUUUAUUGGGCGUAAAGGGCUCGUAG
rnacentral:rRNA from 1 species